UACGAAGGGGGCUAGCGUUGCUCGGAAUCACUGGGCGUAAAGGGUGCGUAGGCGGGUUUUUAAGUCAGAGGUGAAAUCCUGGAGCUCAACUCCAGAACUGCCUUUGAUACUGAAAGUCUUGAGUAUGGGAGAGGUGAGUGGAACUGCGAGUGUAGAGGUGAAAUUCGUAGAUAUUCGCAAGAACACCAGUGGCGAAGGCGGCUCACUGGCCCAGUAACUGACGCUGAG
rnacentral:rRNA from 1 species